UACGUAGGGUGCAAGCGUUGUCCGGAAUUAUUGGGCGUAAAGAGCUCGUAGGCGGUCUGUCGCGUCUGCUGUGAAAACUCAGGGCUUAACCCUGAGCUUGCAGUGGGUACGGGCAGACUAGAGUGCGGUAGGGGAGACUGGAAUUCCUGGUGUAGCGGUGAAAUGCGCAGAUAUCAGGAGGAACACCGGUGGCGAAGGCGGGUCUCUGGGCCUGUACUGACGCUGGAGACGCGAAAAGCGUGGGGAGCAAACAGG
rnacentral:rRNA from 1 species